rnacentral:rRNA from 1 species
UGCCAGACUCCUACGGGAGGCAGCAGUGGGGAAUAUUGCACAAUGGGGGGAACCCUGAUGCAGCGACGCCGCGUGGGUGAAGGAGUAUUUCGGUAUGUAAAGCCCUCUCAGCAGGGAAGAACAAUGACGGUACCUGACUAAGAAGCACCGGCUAAAUACGUGCCAGCAGCCGCGGUAAUACGUAUGGUGCAAGCGUUAUCCGGAUUUACUGGGUGUAAAGGGCGUGUAGGCGGGAAAGCAAGUCAGAUGUGAAAACCAUGGGCUCAACCUGUGGCCUGCAUUUGAAACUGUUUUUCUUGAGUACUGGAGAGGCAGACGGAAUUCCUAGUGUAGCGGUGAAAUGCGUAGAUAUUAGGAGGAACACCAGUGGCGAAGGCGGUCUGCUGGACAGCAACUGACGCUGAGGCGCGAAAGCGUGGGUAGCAAACAGGAUUAGAUACCCUAGUAGA